UGAAUUUGGUUUGAGGUUAUGAUUCGCUGG
rnacentral:piRNA from 1 species